UACCGAAGUUCCAUUCCCGCCGUAAGC
rnacentral:sRNA from 1 species